rnacentral:lncRNA from 1 species
CCCUCUAGUGUUCAGUGCUCAUCAGAUUAUUCCUCCAACAAAUAAGGGAACUGCCCGGUUUGGGGCUCCCUCUAGACAGACAUAGCUUGGAGUGACAUUUAUAAGUGUUUAAUAGCACAAAGAGGAAAAGGUAUGCGUGAAUUCUACAUUUUGAAAUAUGUUCUUUCCUUUUUAAAGCGUCCCAACUGUUUGGUUCUGGAACUCUAGGAAGUGCUGUUUUGUGCGCCUUGCAGGCAGAAUGUAGGCUGAAGAGAUAGGAUGAUUUUGGAAACUAUAAGAUGACCUAGUAAAAGUGAUCCUUUCUGUUGAGAAAUUUGAAGCCUUGUUACAAAUAAGGGACUUCUUACUGAAAGCUGACAACCCAGGAGCUCUUUAUUUGCAGACCAACUACCAAUAGAGGAGCAGGAUUGGGGAGUAUGGAGGGUUGGAGCCUCCAGCAUGUUUUUUUUUUUUUUCUUUUAUAUAAGAAUUUUGAGAAGGGCCAGUUAAAGAAUUAAAACCCCUCGAUUUGCUGUGAAAAAGAGCUUGGGUAAACAAGCUCCUGUACUCUACACAGCUUAUUCUUCCUCUAUCUGGAACAGAACCACUGGGCGGCAGGGCGGGGGGGUGGGGAGUACAAUGGAUAUUGGUGAUAGUUUUAAAGUAUGUUGGUCUCAGAGGUUAAAAGUUCAGCCACUUCAUUAAAUCUAGUGUUGAAACUUCAGUGAGACAUAAUCCAGAAUUUAUCAUGAAGUUGAAAGUAAGAGAAAGAGAAAACAAAGAAGGAAAGAUCAAACAAAAGAAGGGAAAAAGUAAAACAAAAAUCUGAAAUAGUCCCAUGAGGUUAAAAUUCCGCAGUUGGUUACCAAACUAAAACUUAGUAGGUUUAUUUGUUUUUAAUCAUGGUACAUAAUUUUCAAUUAAACAGAACAAAAUUAGUCAGCAAAUAUACACCAACGUUUUUAAAGAAGGCCUAAAGAAUUCUACUAUUUAAGUAAUUGCUUCGAAGUAUGUUUCAGAGGAUAGGAUAUAAAUUGGAAUAGAUCAUAGAAUUCAUUUAAAACUCAGGUUGGAAAUAACAUGAAGACGUCAAAUUAGCUUUGGCACUAAUUGUCUGAAUUUUGGGGAAUAAUGUAAGUCCUCAAGCAGUAUUUUUCUUAAUAUAAGUGAUUUCAAAAACAUGCGUGGUUAAUUUUAUUCUUGUGUUAUAAGUUAACAUACAUUUUUUAAUGAAAGUACUAAGACCUUAAAAAGUGGUGAUAAAUAAAGAUGACCUCCCAAACUCGAGAGAGGAACUUCCUUUUAAAGUGUUCCAUUUUAAUAUUCAUGAUCAAAUGAUCACUAUUAUCCUCAUUAUCACUAAGCAUGUAUCAAGUACCUACAAAUCAUAUAAAACAUAUAUCCUGUGAGACCCCAACUUACAUUUUGUUUUGGUGUUGAAUUAUUAUAUUUUGGUGUAAGAAGUACAUUAAGAUAUUUUCUAAAAUAAAAUAAAGUAUUCCUUAAUAGUAUUCCUUACUUUGUUGUUGUUUUCCUCUUUACUGGAUCAUUUUAAGUAGAUUAUUUAAUGUAGCAGAAGAAUAAUGUCUGCAGGGCCUGAAAUGUUAGACCAUCCUAAAUUUUGGCUAUUUUCAUUUUUUUUGCUUCUGUGUUUUACUAAAUUUCAUUUUAGUGCUCUCUUUUAAAGUUGACUAAAGGGUCUUCUUAAAAAAUCACCCUUCUUUCAUAAACUGAUAGGAUCAGGUGACUAGGGCCUAUCUUUGGUCCAAGGAGUCCCUUUGAAGGUUUAAAGUCCUAAUAUGUUCCAUAGUCCAUUUAGUUUUGAACUUCUUAGAUCAGACUGACAACUCAUAGGAUGACCAUUUCCACCAGGUUUUCCAGGUGGACAGUCUGCUCUGAACUGGACUGAGAUCACACACAUUUGUCUCUGAAUAGUUGUUUGACAGGAAUAUCCAUCUAUCACAUGUCUCAUACUAGAUUGCAUUAUAAGACACACAGGAUUAACUGGAAGCCACCACAAAUAUAUUACCACCUUUAUUUUUGCUCUCGUUGUUGUUGUUGUUUAGUUGCUGCUCCAAGUCACUGGUUUAGGUAAAGUUCAAACCAUCAGUAAAAUUCUAAAGUAAGUAGAAUUACAAAGUAAAUAUAAUACUAUAUUAACAGAGAAGCUGACUUAAUUUUUUUUUAAGUGUUGAUUUAUUUUUGAGAGAGAGAGAGAGAGAGAGCCCCAAGGGUGGGGGCAGAGAGAGAGGAAGACACAGAAUCCAAAGCAGGCUCCAGGCUCCAAGCUGUCAGCACAGAGCCUGACUCGGGCCCCAAACUCACGAACCAAGGGAUCAUGGCCUGGGCUGAAGUUGGAUGCUUAACUGACUGAGCCACCCAGGUGCCCAGGAAAGCUGACUUUUAUGCAAUUUUUAUACUUCAAAUUUAGUUGUACAAAAGUCACAUCAAAAUUUCUAGCAUGGUGGAGGUCAUGAGUUGGCUUGAGUAACUUUUAAUUGCUAAGAUUGUAUAGCAUCGUGAAGAACAGAUGAAGGGGCCCCUAUGUAUCAAAGUGGUUAUAGAAAAACAAAUACACACAGAAAAACUGUGGAAAAUCACAAAAAUAAAAGCAUGAAAUAAAGUUAACUACACAGAACCCUGAGGGUCCUGGUAAUUUGGAGUGACUUAUAAUAAGAUUAUACAAUAUACAAACUAUAAGGGACCUUAUAGAUGAUCACAUCUACUUUUCUCAUUUGCCAAAUCUCAGACCCAGGAAAUGUUGAAAAAUAAGUUGCUUACUUAAUAUCAUGUGGCUACAAAAUGGAGGAAAAAGCAUUGGAUCUCGGUCGUUGGGAGUCUCAGUGGCACUGCACCUUUUACCAAGUAAGCUUCGGUCAUGCCCUGAAGGUAGGCAGGGGUGGUUUCAUAGAAAUAGAAAGAAAGUCAUAUUUUUGGAAACUUUAGAAUAGAUGUGAUUUAGUCAAGGAGUUAGUAAAUAUUUAGAGACGGGUUAAGUUAAAUGUUUGUUGGGAGUAAAAAGGUACUUGUUAAGCUCUUGAAACUCUUGAUCUUGGAAUUUACCCUCAUUAACGUAACAACAAGUAAGAUACAAUUUGUUAUUGAGAUUAGGUAUUAAAGAAUAAAUGAUGGUUGAUUGAAGCGCAUUCUUUUUAACAAAUACAUUAGAAAAGUUUAUCAACUUAAGUACUUACUAGUUAGGUCUCUGUAAUGAAUCCACAGUCCUGGGCCCUGGCAGAGGCAUAAAAAUGGUUCUUAUGAGUUAUGGUGAAAACUUUGAUCAAUUGUGCUCAUUUAUUUACAGAAGAAAUUGUGUAUUCUUUGAUUAACCAGCAGCCAUCCGAGGGUGAUGAGAGAAAACUGUCACAGGUCUCUUUAACAAAAGAAAGAAAAAAAAGGUGGUGGUUUUGAAAGUAGUUUAAGUAGGAAAAAGUCUAGAUACAGUUAAAAGAAAAUGGUCACAAGGGAGUAUAGAUGGCACCUUUCGGAGUUUGACUUCAGUAAGGAAAUAAAAAGGGACGUUUAUUUGCAGGGGCCAGUGACUUCAAAAUGUGCUUCACUGUUCUUAUUGGGCUACUGAACUGAAUAAGAAACAAGAGUAUUGUUGGCAUUUACAUUUAAGACAAAACUCACGAAUUGCAGAUUGUUCUUUAGUGUAAAAGCAAAGAACACAUCCAUUAAAUGUGAAUCAGAUUGCUUAGAAUCAAUUUUAAUUAGUGGACAUUGCUAGUCCACACAGUAAACAAGUUAUUGUGGACAUGUUGGAAUGUGAUUAUUUUGAUCAUCCUAUGUAACUUGUCUUCAUUUACAAGAACUCACAUCAUUAAUUGUCUCCAUUUGGAGGCCUGCUUUGAUACCCUUGUCCUCCCUUGCUCCUUUCCUCCUCUCUCUGUUAGGAGCCUAAUUCUUUGCUUUAUUUAGAUACUAGCCCUUCCUACACUGACUCUACUGUAGAUUUCCUCAUCCUGGGUAGCCAGAAAGUGUUCAAGCGUAGUGGUUAUAUCUUGCUUUUCUGCAUCUACAGUGCCCCCUUCUCACUGUCUGGCAAAUAGUAGGCACUCAUAGAAAAUUGUUUCAUGAAUGAUAUCUUUGCUGUAAGAUUAGAAUGAAAGAAAACUUUGAUUUCCCAGAGUUCAUUCUACAGUUGACUCCUUAUUUUGUAGAAACAGCAAGAAAGUUUCCAUGAUACUCAACAGUUCUUUCUGCAAGGUAAAAUGAUGUAUUCAAAAUCGGAGCCAUACUUGGAAAUCAUGACUUUAACUCUAAAAAAUUGUACAAUAAUUGUAAAACUGCUUUGCUGUAAAAAUAUCAAAAUUAUGUCACUUUUAACAGGUAUCUCUUUAUAUAUUAUAUAAUACCUAUACAAGCAUUUUAAUCUCCUUAUAUCUUCAAUGACAUAUUAACCAUUUCAUGGCAUUCAUUCAGUGAGUGUUUAAGGAAUGUGCUGGAAGCACAGUAGUAAUUAAUUUUUUUUUCUUCAUGAAUUUACAUACCAGGGCAAGAGGCAGAUGAUAAAUAAAUGUGACAACAUACAAUGGAUGGAAAGAAUAGCAGAAUAUUGGAGUUAUGGGAAGCUAAAAAAAGGUCCAUACUUGAAGUUGCUGUAUGUCAUAUGUAUGCUGUAUUGUGGUGGCAGGUCCCCAAGAGUCUGCCUUUGUUCAUAUAAAUAUUAUUCUAUACAGACAACAGUGUGUCAGGUUGUUCUUCCUUAGCUUUUUCUAGAGAUUCUAUCCAAGAAUAUCGUGGCUGAGGCUCCAGUGUGGUUUCAAGUGUAUAUUGAAUGCUCCUCACAUUGCAACAGCUUGAACAUUCGGCUCUUGGUUAUUCUCCAGACAUAUUCAGGCCAAUGUAAUUUGUGGCAGAAAUUAUUACUUUAAUAAUAUUUGAGAGAUACGGGGGAAAUGCCCAGAAAAAAAAAACAAUCGAAAUAAUAAAGAGAGAAGAAAAGGGGCAAUAGUAGGUCCCCAGAAAUCAUUAAGAAAAACAGAGCCGACGAUCUCUUACAAAACUUAAACUUGCAGGUAAAUUGGACAGGAUUUAAAACAGAUACUAUGUACACAUUUGUACAAAUUGGACCUAAUAGAAGGAGCAAAAAGUGAUACAGAUUACAAAUUAGUCAUUCUACCUUCAGUAAAUUCCAUGAACCUUAGACUGGAAAUAUAGUUGAUGGAAUUUAAGUAGGAAUUAAAAGAGAGAAGACCCACAUGACAUGAUUUUAGAAGCCUAACAUUUCAGAGAUAAAAGAGAUCUUAGAGGGAUGUUUAGAUAAAAUUUUUAACUUCAUAGAUGAAACUAAAUUGAAGAGCACUGUUGAGUACAGACCACCUUGCAAAAGAGAAGAUGUGGCUAUUGAUGUCAUAAUAAAAAUGUUAUAACAUAAGCUUAAUUCCUUUGCUUCCUUCUCUCGUACCUUUUAUCAUAUCAAUAAUAUGAAUGUAAAUUUCUAGAGUGUAGGAACUUUCUCUCACAUACCACUGAAAUCCUGCUAGUUAGCACAGAGCGUGGUAUGAUAGUUCUAGAAAUCUUUAUAAAUAGUUGUUAUAAAUGCUCAAUUACUGCAUUGCUUGCUGAAUAAAUGAGUGAAUGAAGGAUGAAUAAAUAUAUGGCCAACUGUGCAGACUGUGAUAAGUCAGAAAGUCAGCACCAUACCAUCUGACACAACUUGGCUUAACUUUUGGAAAAUUUUCUCUCAAACUUUUCAGAAAUACUGAAAAGAAUUGCCUCUUCAAUCUUCAUCCUAAUAAAAAUAAAAUCAAAAUUAGGGAGUGUGAAGUGUGUGCCAAAACCACUUUGCUUGUUUUGAUUCACACCACAACCCCCUAAGACAUAUACUCUCGUCAAUGAGAAGGCAAAGAAACUGAAGUCUAGGAGAAAUUAAGCAAAUCACCCCAAAAAACAUCUAUCUUUGUGAAUAGCAAAGAUAGAUUUGAAUCCAGUUGGCUGGCUGUACAGCCAAUGCCCGAUGCCCUUCUGUGCUUCCAUGCUCCCUUCUAUUGAAACGGGUUUUGGAAAAGUGGUGUUUAAAAACCUGUGAGGGUGUGAUAUUAUUAACUUAGAAUUUAUGAAAACAUGGAAAGGAACAUUGAAUAUAAUGUAACCUAGCCCCUAGACUUUAGAGAAAUAGAUUUAAAAAAUGUUGAGAGAGGGGCGCCUGGGUGGCUCAGCGGGUUAAGCAUCUGGCUUUGGCUCAGGUCAUGAUUUCAGGUCAUAAUUUCACGGUUUGGGAGUUUGAGCCCCAUGUUGGGCUCUGUGCUGUCACUUUGGGGCCUGGAGCCUGCUUCACAUUCUGUGUCUCCCUUUCUCUCUGUCCCUACCCCUCUCAUGCUCUCUCUCUUUCUCUCUCAAAAAUAAAAAACAUUAAAAACAUUUUUAAAAUGUUGAAAGAAAAGAGACUUGAUUCCAAGACCAUCCAUUUUAUUUAUUUGUUUGUUUGUUUAUUUUUAUUUACUUUUUAAUUUUUUAUGUUUAUUUUUGAAGGAGAGAGAGAGAAAAUGUGAGGGGGGAGGGGCCGAGAGAGAGGGAGACACAGAAUCCGAAGCAGGCUCCAGGCUCUGAGCUGUCAGCACAGAGCCCGACGCGGGGCUCGAAUCUGUAAACCAGGAGAUCAUGAGCUGAGCCAAAGUCGGAGGCUUAACUGACUGAGCCACCCAGGUGCCCCCCAAGACCAUCCAUUUUAAAAUGGAAGAUGGCUCCAAUGUUAUAGAAGACUCUGAAACAUGAAAUUACCAGUAAAAUCAUUGACCUCCAUUCUUCUAAAUCCUGGCUUUGUCACUUACUAGUGUAUUAUUCUGGGGACAUGGCUUGUCUGCACCUCAUUUUCCUAAUUUAUAAAAUGGUGGUAACAGUAAUACUUUUCCUUACAAAGAAAUUGGAGAGUUCCAUGAGAUGUAAUUGUAAAGAAAAUUCAGAAUAAAUGAUUGGCACAUAGUAGACACUUAAUGGAUGUUAGCUAUUAUACUGAAGAUGGAGACGCCCAAGUAUCAAAUUGGUUCUAUGAUAAAAGAUACAGGAUCAAACAAGGGGCAACAGAGAGAAGGGAGUAAGUAAAGACAGUAUGGAACAAAGGUCAGCGGAACCACUGGGACUGAAAAGUCAAGUCUCUUUAGGGAGAGGGUUGCAAUAGCAGUCUGCAUUUCUGAAGAAUAAAGUGAAUCUGGCAAAAUCGAAAACGAUUUGCCAUGGCUCUGGGCACCAGGAGUGGUGCGGUCUGCGUGGCCAUCAGCUUUGCAGAGAAUAAAAAUACCAGGAAUCAAAAAGAAGUUAAAACCUGGGGAAAAGGGACUAAAAUUUACACGAUUAAAACAAUGAGAAAUAAAUAUAAAGAUCUGCAUUUAGGUCAAAAGUUCAAAAAUUAUGUGGAAAAAUCAGCAUUACCUUGGAGACAAAUUUGUUUUUUGAUUAUUGAAUCACAUCUUUAUUUAUAAUACUUCUCACGAACAUUGCGUAUUUUUUUUUUACACACCCAGCUACAUGUGUACUUACUAGAACGUAUGUUUCUAGAUAGCAGGGAGCUCAUGCAUCUUGUCCACAGAAACCUAUGAUGCGUUUAGUACAGUGACGGGCACAGAGCACGCACUCCAGAAAUACUUUUCAACAAAGGCACUACUUUCACCUUAUCUUGGGGGGGGGGGUGUUACUUAACCUAAGUUCCCAAAUCUUUAUCUCCAAAAUUGUUGUAAUAAAUGAGAUAAUAUACGUAAAGCACUUGGCCUGAUGUCUGGCCCACGGCAGCUUCUCAUAAAUGCUAAUUUGAUUCUUCCUGCAUAGGGCUGCUGUGUAGUAGAUAAAUUCUGUGCUUUGUAGAGGUGUUCUUUAAAUGCCAUGCCUCACAAAGUACAUAACGUUUUAGGUAUUUUAUCUUUUCUAGAAACUCCUAAAUUAUUUUACAAUGAAAGUUGCUAUUUACACUAUAUCUUUAGUACAACGUUGGUCAAAAUAUCAAAGAAAUUCAUGUACAUUAAGUUCAGUAAACAUUUAUUGAUUUUUAUUACACUACAUAGAGAUAAUACCACCUCUGUUUUCAAAGACUGCAUACGGCCCAGGUGGGUGGACUUAGAUUAAAUAGCUAUAUUUCAAAAAUUAUAUUUUUAGGAGCACCUGGGUGGUUCAGUCGGUUAAGCAUCUGAUUUUAGCUCAGGUCAUGAUCUCAUGGUUCAUGGGUUUGAGUCCUGCAUCAAGCUCUGUGCUGACAGCUCAGAGCCUGGAGCCUGCUUCGGAUUCUGUGUCUCCCUCUGUCUCUACCCUUCUCUCACUGGUGCUCUGUCUCUCUCUCUCUCUCUCUCUCAAAAAUAAAUGAACAUUAAAAUUAAAAAAAAAGAAAUAUAUUUUUAAAAUUGUAAAGAGGAACCAAGCCACCAUUAUCUUCAGUAUAUGAUUUUUUUUUUUUGGUUUUAUAAAGUUGGUAUUGAACUCUUGGAGAUAUCAACUUUAAUACUAAUAAUUGUAUACUUAGAGUUUCCUCUGGUUAGACAAAAGCACUGCGAAGCAGUAAAACAAAUUACAAAGGAUUAUUUAGCUAUUUUUUUUUAACUUCAACUCCAAAUGAAAACAAUUAUAUUGGAGACAUGCAUUUAAGAAAUGGGUGUAUCAUAAGGUCAAAUUAUCUUUAAAACAGAAUCAAAUGACCAUUGAAAUCUCUUACAAAAGACAUUUGGCUUAGGAAAAUUAUUUUCUUUUACUUGAGACUCAGCAUUUAUAGAUUUGCUGUUUUAAAAUUACUUCUUAAGAUUAUCUUUGUAUUAUAAUGGAAUUGUUGUGCAAAUAUGGCUUAAUACAUAAAAUGAGAGCUAUUAUGGUCUCCCUUAUGGUUCCAUCACAAUCCAUAAAGCGUCCUCCCAGGUCUCUGUAGAGUCUGCCCUCUGGUGCCCUAGGUCUGUGCUGCCACAGUCACAUUCUCCAGCUUAUCAGCUCUGAAAUAAAAAGCAAAUUCUGACCUCAAAAAGAGACUGGACAGAUGUAGCCUGAAUGCAAUUUAAGAAAAUCAAAUACUAUCAAAGGCUGAUUUUGAAAGAAGUCUUUCCACCAUUAAAAAACAAAACAAAACAAAAAAUAAUAGAUCUUAAAAUGCCAGCUGAGUGUAGUUUCUAAUCAAGAAAAAAGGCAUGAUACAGCAGAAACUUUCAAUAUGCUACAUUUGACUUUCUUCAAGGAUUAUAAAUUAAUUUUAGAAUUUCUAGAAGAGCAUUUCUAUUAGAAAAAUCAUCCAUACAGUAAUAUGCCUAGCUAUGAAUUCAGCCUUCAUUAUUUCAUAGAUUCCUUCUUGAGAAAAAAAAAUUAUAGCCAGAAAAAGUUAACAAUUUAUCUUCUUAGAGAUAUUUUGAAAAAUUAAGCAGAGAUUCAAAUAAAUGUACUUACUGAUCAUAUGCUCCUUGUAAGAUUUCUUCUUUUAAGCUUGGUGCCAAAACUCUUAUCCUUUAAAUAAACAUAGGAAAUAAAUUCUAGGAGAGGAAAAGCAUGUUCUGAAACUCUAAAAUAUGGUUUAGAGUUCAUAAAUCACAUGAUGAAAAUUUAUUUCAUUAAUUUAAACAAGCUGCCAGACUUUAUGAAAGACAUCUUCAUAUUCCAAAUUGGUAGUUAAAAUGUGAUAGGUCUAGAGUCUUGUUUUAACCUGAAAUGAUCAAAAUCAGGCUACUUAAUACUUCGUUAAUUAUAAUCCAUUAAAGAAGAUGACUAAAUUCAGAAUCCACCAGUUGAAUAUGUGAUAAUAGCUGACAUUUUGUGGUAUUAACAGUUUAUAAUAAUUGUCUUUUCACAUAUGGAAUAUUAUUGAUAUGAUUAGCACUGUACAAAAUGAAUAGCAAAGGGAAGUUAUGUGUCUUCUGGAGGAAUAGCUGACAUUCUUUUUUUAAAAAAAUGUAUAUAUAGCAUUGGAAAACCCACAAAUCGGAGAACUGUGCAUUAAUUGAAGUAUUAUGAAUUAAUUUGUUAGGGGUGGAAAGCAGACUUAUGGGUGAUUUUAAUGAUGAGUUACAUUGAAUUUCUUGCACAAUAGUAUGCAUGUCUUUGAUGAUAUCAACCUCAGAAAUAGAUCAUUUUAAACAGCAAAGGCAGCAAUUAUAGAAGGUUGUCAGAUUACAAAAAUUCAGCGAUUAGACAUGAAUUUUAUCAGGGCAUGAUGCACUGUAGAUAUGUUUUUUUUCAUAUUGAUUUCUGUUAUAUCUCUUUAAUAAUAAAAUAUUUUAAUCUCUCUCAAGAUCUCUCUGUUUAACAAAAUCCUCCCACCAGAUAUGCAAACUAGAGCCAGGCUAGUCAUUUUGGAAUUGUGAAAAAAAAAAAAAAAGGGUAAUAAUGUGUUGUGUUAAACUCUACUGUUCCAAUUCAUUUCAAUGAGAAUCAGUCAAUAAAAAGUCUCUGUUUCAGCAAAGGCGGGAGGAGAAACAAAAGGACUUAAUGAAAUGAUCUGUUUACAAAAUGCUAAGUGAGGGUUCUAUGAGAAAACAGCAUUAAAUCCAAUUUUCCUCUCCUAAUGCAAUUUAGGAAAUCUCAUAUUCUCCCAGUUUUUGCUUGUCAUUUUUUUUUUUUUGUAAAUGGACUGAGGCAUGUGGCCUUUUUUCUUAAUGUUAAUUUUUUUAAAGCUAUUUAACUUUCUUUCUCUUCAACUUUGCUACAGUAUUUCUAAAUAGCCCAGAAGAGAUAAAUCAACGCCUGAACUGUAACCUUACACUUAUAUACUUGUUAAAUGACUUUUUUACAGUCUGUUAUUGCUAGAAAUUGGAUUGCUUUUAAACUAAUGCUGUCUGGCGGGCAAAAGUGAGUGAAACCGCAAAGCCUGGAGGAACACUAAUUACUUGUUUUAAUUAGCAGCAACUUUCACUAGAGUAUAAUCUCCCUACAGGCCACUUUUCGGUAGGUGUGGAAAAAAAAAUCAUGUACGAACAAACUGAUAAUCUCUGACUUGCGCCUAAAUGAGAGCAGAACUCUGCGUCUAGUGUAGACAUAUUCUGUACAAGCCUCUAAACCCGCCGGGAACAGGGCCUACCAGGCUCGGCUACCCAAUUCAAAGAUCUUUAGCAAUCAGUUACACAAUAGAGCCCCCUAUUUUAUGCUGCUACAUCAUAAAAGUGGUCCUUUUGUUACAUUUCCAUCCUGAAAAGGGUCUUAAUCCCUUUCUUUUCAGGCCAGUCUAUGGCAAAUUCCACUGGGACAUCCCAUUCGCCACAAGGACUGAAAUGACCCACUCCGAAAGCAGCAUGUGAAGCUUUGAGCCUUUUUUUUCCCCCUGCCACUCUCCAGAGAACAUUAAAUCGUACUUUUCAUUCCCCUCACCAUAGGGGGAACCCCCUUAAUGAUGACAGAGAAAGAAAAAUUCCAUCACACUGUCCUAUGAUACCAUUCUGUUGUCAAGCAGGCGUUUCCCUGGUCAGAGAAUCAAACAUGGCUUCCAGCAGGUGGAUGGUGCUGAAGGUCACAGGCAGCCAAAUGCAGAGGUUACACACGGAGGAAGCGCAGGUUCCCACAGCAAAUUAAGUCAUCUGUGAAGCCUUCUCAUUUCCCAGCGACUAAAUUUAUGACUGCUCUAAAGGGUCAUCAUCGCUUGCAUGCACAUGUGCUUUAAUGAAAGUAUUUGAGUUUAGAAGAGUGGGAUAGUCCCAAUUAAAAACACAUACAUGAGCUACAUGCUUAAAGGGAUGAGUGAAAUAUUCAAAUCUGCAUAUAUAACUCUUUUAUUCCUAAGGAGGUAAACACUUCAUAACUUUUAAUAAUUUAAAAAUAAAGUUGUAAAUACUAGAUUGAACAUGGGAGUAUUUC